UUCUCUCAGAGCAAAAGACUCGAAGAAAAGAAAACCCAGACCAAAAAAGACCAUGCUGCUUCAUUUCCUCUUUCCAGUUUGAUGAUUAUUAUGCUGAUGGUGAACUUAAGAUAUAUAAUAUUGAAUUCGUGAAGGGAUGAAUCUUUUCAUCAGGGUUCUGAAGACAACUCAUUUUGGUAUGAUCAACAUGUCAUUCUGAGCAGAAUAACCUGUUACGGAUCAACAUAAGUGUCUGUGCAAGCCAUGGACUCGCUACAACUUAUCGAUCAAAUUAUGGAGCAGGAGAAUGUCUUGUGCUGCCAACCUCACCACCUUACGGACUUAUGCAACAGUUCAAAGUUCAUAUCUUUGUCAGUACUGAGCACAUCCAGUAGCCACAGCUAGAGGCUUGCAGAAUGACCAGCUUACAAAGUCCAAAGACACGGCUUGCAGAAUGACCAACUUACAAAGUCCAAAGACACAUACGACAUUCACAUCCCUGUGAACUAUACAAAGCCGCAACUGAAAGCUCGUAGCCCUGUGAACUAUACAAAGCUCGCAACUGAAAGAGUUCAACCGGUCAAGCUCUCAAUUUAUGAUCUGCAGACUCUUUACAACAGCAGUAGCAUUUGCAGCAGAGUGAGAAUGCCUACAGCAAUAACAAUAGCAUCACACAGCUUCAAAGGAUUAUCUUUAAAGCACGCAGUUUGUGCAAAAAGUUCUUUGUUUGAUUUUAUGCAGAGUGGCAGUAUCCUAUGGAGUUGCUGCUGCUGCUGUUCCUGUGACGCUAGGUAAUCAACCAAUGCAAGGUUGUUGUGGCCCAUUUGGUGCCAUGAAGUGCUGCGGAUGAUACCUACACAUGAACAAUGAUCAUGGUUAAGACACUUACAGGUAAAGAAAUUGAAUUGAUAAUGAACCAACUGACACCAUUGAUAGAAUCAAGGAGUGUGUUGAGGAGAAGGAAGAUAUCUCUCCUGUGCACCAGAGGUAUGUUAUUUCUUAAUUUCAGCUAAAUAUCUAAGUUGUCAUUAUGUUUCCAUGCUCCCUCACAAUAGUUUCUAAAGUUGCCCGUUUAUACUUUAAAGAUGCAGCUUUUUUUCUUACAUGUAGGUCUUGUAAUAAGUUCGACUCUAUGUUAAAUUCAACUUAUGAAUUCAGAAUCUGAGAUCCUUGUUGUUUCUCACUAACAUUGCUAAUUUGGUUUCUCAGUCAGAACUACCCAUUUUGCUUGUUUAAGUUAUAUUUGUCUCUCUUAUGCUCUAAAGCUAUAUCCCUGUAUUUGAAAGAAAAUCUGCUGCUGCUUUAGGGCGUCCUCCAGUUAGCUGAAGGCUGGGUUGUGAAAGUUGAAUAAAGGAAACUCGGAGUCUAUUGAUGUUUAGCAAAUUAUCUUAUUUCUUCGAGUGUAAAACGUUGUGCGAUGUGUGUGAAACUUAGUGUCUCAUUGGUAAUUUUAGUGUCUCUAUAUUGGUUUUGUUAAAUUAGUUUGCAGGCUUAUCUAUGCAGGAAAACAACUUGUUGAUGACAAAACUGCCAAAGACAACAACAUCGAGGGGGGGUUUCGUUCUUUUUUAGUGCUUUCCUUGAGGGGUGGUCUUUAAGGCUCUUACUUUUCAUAUGGGAAUGAUGUAUAUCAGAUUGUUCAUGGGAGUACUUGCAAACUAGCUAUGCUAUAUUUAGAUUUUUGUUUAUCAUGAAGUUUAUUCCGUUCUUCUCAUAAAGUUUAUCAUUUUACUACUGCUCUUCCACUGCCUGAAGCCUAUUUAGCAAGAAAGUGAGAUUGAUUUUGAGUGGGUUUCUGUUUUUUUUCUUCUUUUUUAUGUUGAAGAUAGUGCGAAGGGGAUCACUCAGUAGCCCACAUCAAAUGUGAAUAGUUAAGCUGGAUCUUGGAUAAGAAGAGACAUCGAAAAGAUGGGAGGCGCAGAAAUUGUCAAGGGUCUUUGCUGGUGAAGCCCUAUGAUAAUUUGGUCUUAUCUGCUUUUACGUAUGCCUAGUUGAGUUUGAAGAAUAUCGCCGGUUCAGUUUUGGAAACAGACAUGCGAUAAAUGGUGGUGAACGAGAAGCACCAAAUUUGAGCUUUACCCUGAAGCUGCUUAUCAUGAAUCCAAAGCCACUACUAUGCCACCUGCUAGUGUUAUGACUAGCUCAUUUUGAUUAUGGUGUGGCGGAAACUCAUCAUAAAUCCAAGCACUUAAGUAUCAUUGGUCUCACCUGGUCUCUAGUAUCUUACAGGCUCUUCACCAUCUUGGUUGUAUUUACGAGAUGAGAAUUCGACAUCAUCGUGUGAUCAUCCUCUCAAAACCACAAUAAUUUGCGAUAUUCGGAUUACUCACUGUAAGAACUUGUAACAUUUCAUUUCUAUAUGCAAUCCUUAGAAGAUAAAGCGAACAUGGUUGCACCAACACAAUGUAAGAA